rnacentral:lncRNA from 1 species
AGCCUGAUGAUGUAGUAGAGAGGAAGGGGUGAAGAAAUGAGUAUUUAUGGAAGCCUAGCAUGUGUGAUUGAAGCAGACCAAAAGGCAGCCAACCACUAUAAUUAAUUCGAAGAUUUUGAGGAUUGUGUGGACGCGACCUUUGGAAGCCCUGUCUAUUACAUCAGUCACUUGGCAGGGCACAACUAUUCGUUUCGAUGGAAGCGCCCAAGGGGCAAGAUCUCGAGGACGUUUCUCUUCGUUUACUCUGAGAAACGCGGGGACUAUCUGUAUACGGCUAAAAUCGGGAAGACCAAUUUUACGGUCGGCAAGGCAUUGCACAAUCUCACCUCGAAGGUUCUAGAGGAUAGCCCGGGGUUCGAUGCCUUCGAGAGGUCUUCGCGCCUGAUAUCGGGGUAGAACAGACCGGUGCUUAUCGCGAAUAAGUGGGAUGUUCCCUAGGAGCUGUAUUUUCUGACAACGCCUGCGCAAACAAUGACAGCCUACACCAGGCUGAUUGAGUGGUUGUACCAGCUACUUUAUGUAAUAAAUACAUGUGUGUUGUGUUGGAACUUUCCCCCUCAUAUUCUCUUGAUCUCAUUACUUCCAUUUAGUGCUUAUAUUUAUUGUGUUCUAUUUAUUGUUCUUCAUUUAUUGCUUAUUAUUGGUCAUAAAGAGCCGUCAUUGAAUUUAUCAUAACUGUUAGUCCUACAUCGACUACUCUCGGCAGGGCAUCCGACUCGACCUCGAGGCCCCGAAUACGCAAGCUCGAGGCCUCGAUUAUUAGCCAUUCAGUUUGGUUAUCACAUUGUUUUCAAGCUAUUAUCUUGUUUUCAAGUCUUUCACUUAACAUCAAUUGCCUAACAACUAGCAUAAAAAUAGAUCACAUAUUUUUAGAACCACA